CUAUGCAUUUAUUGGGCUCCUUUUUUUUGUUAUUCAGUUUUAAGUUAAUAUCUCAGUCUGAUUGAGAGAGACCAAGAUGUCCGAUCUUCUUCGCCAAAGGUGACGUGGAAAAUUAGGGUUCAUCCUUUGCUUCUAUCUCUGACGAAUCUAGACCAACAAUGGAGUUUUAGGAUGUUGAGUGAGACGUAUUAUCGUGAGGACUCUCUGUGCCAAGCUUUGGUUGUGUCGUUUAGUCUUCUGUUUUUAUCCUCUGAAACGUUACGAGAGUCGGUGAAUUUUCAACUAUUUAUAGGUGAGGUUGUAUCUGUGAAAUUCAUCAUUCUCUUUAGAAUUUGAAUCCGCCGAGCCUUUUGAAUUCUCCGAUGAUGGUGGUGAAGGAGUGAGAGCAGGUUGCAUUCGCAUCAGGUGUCCGACGGACACGAAGAGCCUAUCUCGGUUGUUUACCUCAGAGUGAAGAAGAACACCAUGGCAAAAAGCCAUGUGAGAGACUGUGAUUUGAUGAUGAUCAGAGAUUUCGCAGAAGAUGAUCAUCAGGGAGUUGGCCAAUCUACAGACUUAUUGCCAAGGACCAUGAUUCCGGAGACUUCAGAGAAGAGUGAGGAUUUAGAAGGAACUAGGUUCAGACACGUUUUCAUGACCAUUGGAGUAACAAGAAGGAGUAUGUCCUUAUAAUUGUUUUCAGACACGUUUUUAUUAUAAAAGAGCUGCAAACUUCAUUAGAAGACGCUAAUAAAAGUUUUCAUGUCAUAGAAGCUGAAGUUUCUUGGUGGAAAGACACUGUAUGUGUAUAUGUAGGCUAUGAGCAUAUACGUUCUAAACUCAACUCUAAGGAAUCCAGUGUUUCAAGUUUUAUUAGAAAAUAAAAGUGUGUAAACCUGUGAAGAAGCUUGAUAUUAAUUAAUGGAUAUGCCUUAUAUUUUUCAAUUCG